UUGCGUUCAGCUGACAAAAAUGUCAAAAAUAUACACUGACGCUAGUUUGUAUGAAUGAAUAAGUAAAUGUGGGCAAGUUUCUGUACACGAUUGGCGAAAAUAAGAUACAUAAAUGGAUUUAUAGUGAUUUUACGGACAUAUCGUGUACACAAUCCUGAUCAAUCUUCGGCAGAUCUGAAAUAUUCUGUGAAUGUUCUCUAUGAAACCAACAGUGAAAU
rnacentral:lncRNA from 1 species